rnacentral:rRNA from 1 species
CCGGGGGUACGGGAGGUAAGUAGUUCUGGGUAAACGGCUCGAUGGAGGGGGAGGAAUACUGGAAACGGUAGCUAAUACCGCAUAACGUCGCAAGACCAAAGAGGGGGACCUUCGGGCCUCUUGCCAUCGGAUGUGCCCAGAUGGGAUUAGCUAGUAGGUGGGGUAACGGCUCACCUAGGCGACGAUCCCUAGCUGGUCUGAGAGGAUGACCAGCCACACUGGAACUGAGACACGGUCCAG